CGCGUAGGCGGCCUGCUAAGUCUGGAGUGAAAGUCCUGCUUUCAAGGUGGGAAUUGCUUUGGAUACUGGUGGGCUGGAGUGCAGGAGAGGAAAGCGGAAUUACCGGUGUAGCGGUGAAAUGUGUAGAGAUCGGUAGGAACACCAGUGGCGAAGGCGGCUUUCUGGACUGAAACUGACGCUGAGGCGCGAAAGCGUGGGGAGCAAACA
rnacentral:rRNA from 1 species